rnacentral:rRNA from 1 species
ACGUAGGGAGCUAGCGUUAUCCGGAUUUACUGGGUGUAAAGGGCGCGUAGGCGGGAGAGCAAGUCAGAUGUGAAAUACCGGGGCUCAACCCCGGGGCUGCAUUUGAAACUGUUUUUCUUGAGUGAUGGAGAGGCAAGUGGAAUUCCUAGUGUAGCGGUGGAAUGCGUAGAUAUUAGGAGGAACACCAGUGGCGAAGGCGACUUGCUGGACAUUAACUGACGCUGAUGCGCGAAAGCGUGGAGAGCAAACAG